GCGUCCCUAGGCGGGGCAGGGCUGUCCCGCCAGGUGCGUCUCCGCCAAGGUGGGUGCGUUCCCGCCAGGUGCGUCCCCGCCAGGUGCUUCCCGCGCGAGGCUGGCUGCCCUGCGAGGAGGCCCCAGGGCAGGCGCCGCCGCCGCAUCUGCGGGACGUGCAGGGCAGGCGCCCAGCUCCGGGGCUGCGCUCUUCCCAUCUGGCCCCUUGAACACCCGGCGGUGUUGGGUUCUCAGGCUUGAGCUCCCUCAGUGAGCGCUGAGGGCGGAGGAGUUGACGACCAAACUCCCCUUUCCCUCUCUCCUAAGGUGACCGCAAAGGUCUAAUGAACGAAAGCUAAAACAAACCUUGGAAGCAGAAAUGGGUGAGUGAAUUAUUGUAAGGCAAACCCUUGUAACCCUACCCACAUCCUGCUGGAGAGGAGACUGGAAGUAGGAUCACUCCAUCUAGAUUCUGGGAGAAGACCCUGCUCCAAAGGACCUUGAUGAGGUUUCAUGGUUUGGUAACCUCAUGCACUGUGGGAAUGUCAGAGGACCCCGAGAUAAUGCUUCACUGCCAAGUCUGAAAAUUGUGUCCACAAGAUUUGAUUGGUAGUAUUUUCUAUCAUUGUACAACUUAAAAUAUCUUCUAAUUUCCAUUUUUUUUUUUGACAUGAGUUGUAUAGAAAUGUGUGCUUCAGUUUCUGUUAUAGCAACAACUCUUGUCACCCAUAGCCUUACAAAAAUUCCUAAUUUUAAUAUUUAAAUUUUAGAAACUUUCUUACAAGCAGAAUUACAAAAAGAGUAACUAACAAGAAAGUGAGAUUGUGAUGGGAUAACGGAAUGUCAAGUCUAAUUGUCAGGAAAAGACAAAAUAACAUGGGAAUGACAAUCAAAAUGGACUAAGGACUUAGAAGAUCCGAAACUAUGAAGCUACUAAAAGAAACAUUGGGGAAUGCUCCAGGACAUUGGUCUGGGCAAAGAUUUCUUGAGCAAUACCUUAAAAGGACAGGCAACCCAAGCAAAAAUGGACAGAUGGGAUCACAUCAAGCUAAAAAACUUCUACACAGCGAAGGAAACAAAGUGAACAGAAUAACAUGGGAAUGUUUUCUGUAAUUUAGUAGUAACUGGCAAUAGUUUACAAACACAUUUUGUGUAUACUGCUGUCAUUGCACUGAUUACCUUCUGUUGUAGUGACUUUGUUCUAUUAGUCCACUCAAUUAAAAUAUUUGGUUUUGUUUA
rnacentral:lncRNA from 10 species